AAGCUCUGGAGCCACAAUGGCCUCCCUUCAUGAUGAUGGAGCGGGGGGAGCAAAGUGCCUACAGUAAAAGAAAGAGGGUGCAGCGAGGAGGUCGGUCUCCUCGUGUCGUCGUUCUUUCCAGUACUUUCAACUUCAAACACAAGCAGUGCAGAGGAUGCAGGGACGAUGCAGCGAUGGCCACGGACAGCCCACUGGAGUCGUGUCGCUGUCAUGUGAGUAAUGUGGGUGCAAUAUCUGAGACGUUUUCAGGAGGGGAUCGCUACAGGAUUCAUCCUUCAGGGACAUUGACUGUUUGUAAAAUAAUUUCAAGGCAAUCCAUCGAAUUGUUGCUGAGACUUUUCAGUCUGGACCAAAAAUGUUGAACCGUCCGACGUUGCCCUCCCUGGAGCUAAAAACAGACGACGGAGCAGAAGAUAGUGAGAGCAGACGCAGAUAAAAGUGAGAGAUUAAGGCCCACGCCAAACACUGAGCCAAAAUAAAGUGCAGUUCAAGCCGCCUUCACUACAAGGGCUGCAGGUAAACGAACUGAUCUCAUAUGGAGGCCAAUCAAAGGCAAGCAUCCUCUUGGCAAACGCUAUCACUUUGGCACGGCAUCACUUACGCCUAGGAAAAAAAACAACAAAAAAAAAAAACACUUGAAGCUGCAAAUUCAGUGGGCUAACUGCAUUAGCUGUGUACUGUGCUUGAUGGAUGGAGGAGCAUGAGGUUUCUCUGUUUGGGGGAGGAGACAUAUGGUGAUUCGUCUGCAGUGGAGGGAAUUAAAAGUCUGCCUGUGUGGCUAAUAGACAUGAAGAGGCAACAUGUGCCUGGCUGCAUGACAGCACCACCUCAUUUCUUAGUCUGGUGUUGCUGUGCAGCUCCUGGCAGCUGAUGAUGCGUUCAAGCGCACUGGGGUUCACUGGAUGCUGUGGAGAAAUUUAGCCUAACAACUGGAAUGAUUAAAUGAUGUAAUAAAAAAAACUUUUGUAAUAGAAAAUAAUUGCCUCUCAUUAGUUGAUGGUAUUGAACCGGUGUCCACCUGCGUGCACAUACAAUUCCCUCCACAAUAAUAGAAAAACACACACAGAAACUCCAUCAUUCUGAUGUAAUGAAGACUCACCUCUGUGGAUUUACUGCAGCUGUAAAAAGCUAACAACUCCAAUGAAUUAAACUUAGGGGCUGUAUAACAGAGUUCUGUGUAGCAAGCUAUUUCUCGAAAUCUCAUUAAACCACCAAGCAUCAAUUAUGGUCCCGGUGUGAGUUAGUGUAUGUACAGGAGGGAACGUACAGGAGUGCAUUUAGAUGUUAUGCAGCCCUAAUCUAGUUACUUGGGCGUUCGAUAAAUCUAUUACAGGAAGAAGGCUGAACAUACAACAUACAUUUUUACUAUAAUAAUAAUUAUCAUUUUGUAUUUUGCACGUGUUUUGUAUUCCCCUAUUUAUUUAUUUCCCCUAUAUACAAUAAAUAAUUGAUCGCAAAAAAAGAAAUGACCAGAUGCUAAGCAAUCUUCUUAGCAGAGAAAAGACGUCGAGCAGAUGUAAAGUGACAAAAAAACUGAAUUAAAUCCGACAGAGAUAGACGUCUUCCAUUAAAGUCAAUAAAAAUGUGAGAGUCUUGAAAGACAGAUAUGAUCUGUAAGGUGAGGGUCACACGUAUGAGGGGAGCUGACUUACCACUGCUCCAUCUCAUAUUUGAUAAUACAUAACCAUAUAUGUAGUUUGUUUGUAUCCUGCUUAAUAACAUGACCAUGUAUCCUGCUUUACUGUCCUAACCAUAUAUGUAGUUUGUUUUGUGAUGAGUUGUUUAACAGGACGCAGCUGUUGGAGGAGAUCACAGGCGGACACGCUCGCUGCACAGAACAGACUGAAAUCAGUCUGUUCUACUUCUAUACCAUGAAAUAAGCAUUUGUACCAUGUAUCACAAUCACCCCCCAAAUUAUAAAUCACCCAUUAUAUUCACUGAUUAUAUUCACUCAUUAUAUUAUGUUACCCUUUAUAUUACCUUUGACACCCUUUAUGUUACACUUUGUAUGACCUUCAGUUCUUUAAGAUAAACAAUGUCUUGCUACUGGAAGAAUGUUUGGAAUGCUUUGUGUGAUAAUAAAAAGAGAGGAGACGGUGGAGUUUGGUCAGAGCGGGUUGGAGAUUGUAACUGAGCAAAUCUCUGUCCGUUCUCCUCGCGAGUAAGAAAUAACGCCCUUGUCUUUCUCUUCUGUGUGUCAGUAUUAAAUGUCUUAGGUGGUGUAAACC